rnacentral:rRNA from 1 species
GAGUAUAUCAACCAAUUUUUUUUUUAUAUACAUGUUCUGUUUUCUAAAUAGGAGAGCGAAUCCGCCGAAUUUAAGCAUAUAAUUAAGCGGAAGAAAAGAAAAUAACUAUGAUUCCUUUAGUAACGGCGAGUGAACAAGGAAAAGCUCAAGCGGAUAAUCUGUGUGUCUUUUCCUUUUUUUUUAAAAGGUUUAGCACAAAGAAUUGUCGUGUAUAAAAAUACUAUAGUAACUUUUCGGUAUCUGUAAAAAUAAAGCAUAUGUUACGAAGCGAGGUGGAAUGCCUCCCCCAAAGAGGGUGAAAGGCCCGUAGGAAAACAUUUAUGGUUUAGCGUUACUGAGAGACCUCUAUAUGUAAAAGAGUCGUGUUCUUUGAGAUUGGAGCACAAAUGCGUGUGAUACAUUUCACAUAAAGCUAAAUAUGUGUAGGAGACCGAUAGCAAACAAGUACCGUGAGGGAAAGAUGAAAUAGUACUCAGGAAUGAGCAAUUAAAAAGUACCUGAAAUCGUUAAGAUGGAACGGAUUAAGAGAGAAAAAAAGUAAAUGCAGUCAAAUAGUGAUUUAGCAGCACUAUCAUAAUUUAACUGCUUUAUUAAAAGAAACAUCAGUAAAAAGUUUUACGACCUAUUCGGAUAAAACUGUUGAUGAAAAAAACAUUUAAUUUUUUUUUCUUAUCCCAGGAUAAAAAAAAAAAUUAAUAGUCUUUUUCACAUUAUCCUUAUUUUAAAAUAUAGGAUAAAAGGUUUUAUAGAAAAUCACGAAAUAAAAGUGAUAAGAUAGUCCAUUUUACUGAGGUUAUAUAAAAAUGUGUAUUUGCUUGUAAAAAAAAAAAAAUAUUCUUUGUGAAUAUCUUUUUUUUUACAGCUGCGCAUUUUAAGUUGUUUCUAUAAGAUACUUUCUUAACCCACUCGUCUUGAAACACGGACCAAGGAGUCUAGCAAAUGUGCAAGUGUAUAUGAUAUAUUAAACAUUAAUGUACGUGAAUAACGUACUGUUUUUAUACGCAUAAUUAAUGUAAUAUGUUAUAAUUUGUAGAAUUAGUUGAUAAUUGCAAAAUUAUCACUAACGCAUACAAUACCGGUAGGCAAAUUAUGCCAUAUUGAGUAAGAGCAUAUUUGGUAGGACCCGAGAGGCUUUGAACUAAGCGUGGUGAGAUUGAAGUCAGACGAAAGUCUGAUGGAGGAUCGAAUUGAUACUGACGUGCAAAUCGUUCAUUUCAAUCACGUUUAGGGGCGAAAGACUAAUCGAAAAGCCUAUUAGCUGGUUAUUUUCGAAAGAUCUCUCAGGAUCGCUGGAGUUGAUUGUUAUAAUUUUACCAGGUAGAGACAAUGAUUAGAGGACUCAGGGAAUUGAAUUUCCUUGACCUAUUCUCAAACUCCCAAUGGGUAAAAAGGGAUAAAAAUAACUUUAUUGUAUUUUUCUCUAUUCAAAUAAAAUAACUCCAAGUGGGCCAUUUUUGGUAAGCAGAACUGGCGAUGAGGGAUGCUCCUAACGCUUGGAUAAGGUGCCUAAAUAUUCGCUCAUCAGAUCCCAUAAAAGGUGUUGGUUCAUUAUGACAGUAGGACGGUGGUCAUGGAAGUCGAAAUCCGCUAAGGAGUGUGUAACAACUUACCUACCGAAUGAACUAGCCCUGAAAAUGGAUGGCGCUAAAGCGAAUUACCGAUACCAGGCCAUAGAAGGGCAAGAAAAAGAAUUAGUACUUUCGGGUGUUUUUUCUUUUUUAGGAACCUUCUAUGAGUAGAAAAUCGUGGGGUUUUGUGUAGAAGCGAAAUACGUGAGUUUUCGUGGAACAUCUCCCUAGUGCAGAUCUUGGUGGAAGUAGCAACUAUUCAAAUGAGAACUUUGAAGACUGAAGUGGAGAAGGGUUUCUUGCCAACUGUGUUUGUACAAGAGUUAGCCGCUCCUAAGAGAUAGCUGAAAAGUGUUUAUAUGGGGAGGAUUCUAAUCUUUCUAUCCCCGUCUCGAAAGGGAAACAGGUUUAUAUUCCUGUGCCAAUACAAAUCUAUGGGUUAAUUUUUAAAAGAUGGCAACAUAUAGACAAAUGAACCUCUUUACAUAGGUUUUACCAUCGGGGUGCGUUAUCUUUGCACUUUACCUUUAUAGCAUACCUUGGAAUCAAUUUACUUGGAGAAGAGGUAUGUUGAAGUCAAUUCAGUUAAAUUUUUGUAUGGUUCUGUAAUUCUCAUUACAGAAUUAUAUGUAAAAACUUUCCUGUUUUGUAGCAAUAGUAAUUCGUUUUUAUGAAUUAUUCGAUUCGGUAUAAACUAUCCUUGAAAAAAGGGGGGAACAACAAACCAAAGGGGGAGAAGUAGAAUCGCCUACAAGUGAUUUUAGUAAUCGCAAGAUUGCUAGUUCGGUUGUAAAAAGAUUCUUUUCUCAUUCUUGGUAUGUACAACUCUAAUUUGUAAAAAUGAGCGUACCAACAACCGCAUCAGGUCUCCAAGGUUAGUAACCUCUGGUUAAAUAGAAAAAAGUAAGUAAGGGAAGUCGGCAAAAUAGAUCCGUAACUUCGGGAAAAGGAUUGGCUCUGAGGACAUUAGAAUGGAAAGAAAUAGAAAUAUAGUCGAAAGAAAAGUCAUUGAGGUGCUUUUACAUGUUUUUUUUUUCCACAAAAAAAACGUGUAGGCAUUUCUUUUGCACUCUUUUCUCUUCUGUUUUCCUUUUCUGCCCCCAUUCGCCGUCAUAUAUAUAUCUUUUCGCUUCGGCGAUUGGCGUACAUAUGACACUUAUAAUGUUAACUCAGAACUGA